rnacentral:rRNA from 1 species
GACGAACGCUGGCGGCGUGCUUAACACAUGCAAGUCGAACGGAAAGGCCCUGCUUUUGUGGGGUGCUCGAGUGGCGAACGGGUGAGUAACACGUGAGUAACCUGCCCUUGACUUUGGUAUAACUUCAGGAAACUGGGGCUAAUACCGGAUAGGAGCUCCUGCUGCAUGGUGGGGGUUGGAAAGUUUCGGCGGUUGGGGAUGGACUCGCGGCUUAUCAGCUUGUUGGUGGGGUAGUGGCUUACCAAGGCUUUGACGGGUAGCCGGCCUGAGAGGGUGACCGGCCACAUUGGGACUGAGAUACGGCCCAGACUCCUACGGGAGGCAGCAGGGGGGAAUAUUGCACAAUGGGCGGAAGCCUGAGGCAGAAACGCCGCGUGCGGGAUGACGGCCUUCGGGUUGUAAACCGCUUUCGCCUGUGACGAAGCGUGAGUGACGGUAAUGGGUAAAGAAGCACCGGCUAACUACGUG